AAAUCAAAAGACAAGUUGCAUUUCAUUUGAAGAACUCCUUUUUGAUAAAUGUAGGGAGCAUAAUGAACGAUCUUGAUUUAUAAAAAGCUUCAUGUUAUAAUUAUCAAGAUCAUUAUUUUCUUUAGCAAAGAAUCACAAAAGCACUUUAUUUUUGCAUAAGAAAUCUCAUUGUAUUAUGAUUUAUAAAUUCUUUUUCUGCACAUGAAUCAUAGGAGAUAUGUAUGUGAAACAAAUCUUUGCAAGCAAAGACACUAUCAUUCAUAUUUCAAGAUGGAAUUUAUAAGCAGGAAUCAUUUCAUCAAAUCCAUUUUAGAAAAAUAUUUUUCAUAUAAUAAGUGUAUGAGAAAAUCCGAUUGUUAGGAUACCAAUUGUUAAGUGAAUCCGAAAAUGAAAUUAGUACUUUCAUGCAUUCGGAUAAGAUUUUGCUAUAGAUUUUCAAGUUCAAUUAUGAAGAUAAAACAUGCUCAUGAUCAUAAAAAUUUAUGUAUCCAAAACAUAUAAUUUCCAACAUGUUAUUAAGGCAUGUAAUAGUGUAAAAUCAUCAUGGCAAUUAAGUGUUUUGAACAUUGAAUCAAGAAUGUCCGAAAAAUAAUCUUAACACGUUCAUGCAUUCGAGCACAUUUUUGCCAUAGUUUUUCAAAUAUACUCAUGAGAAUAACACAUGCUUAUCAUCGGCUUAAAAUCUCAUGCAUAAAAUUGUUAAUCAAAAUAU
rnacentral:lncRNA from 1 species